CUUGAAGCAAGACAUGUGCAGACUACAAAUAAGAGCAAACCUGCCUGUAAACUCUUCUGUAUGUAAUCUUUUAUCUGAAAAGCAAGACCAGCAUAUAACCACAGCAGCUGUGAGUGCAUGGGUGCACCACCCCGUCCAGGACAUCUUCCUGCACCUGGGCCAGCAGGCUG